AAAACAAUUACGCUGUUAUCCCUAGAGUAACUUGUUUUAAUUUCUUUUAAAAGGAUCAAGUUAUAUAUUUUUGUUAAAAUUUUUUUAAUUUUGAAGUUAUAAAUUUCAAAAACCGCCCCAGUUAAAUUAUAAAUACCUUAUAUAAGGUAUUUAUAAUAAAGAUUCAUAGGGUCUUCUCGUCCUUUUAUUAAAUUUCAUCUUUUUCAAUGAAACAUUAAUUUCGAUUUGUAAAAAUUGAGACAGUUUUAUGCUCAUUAACCCUUUCAUACUAUUUUACAAUUAAUAAGCUAAUUAUUAUGCUACCUUUGCAA
rnacentral:rRNA from 1 species